GUAAGCUACUAAGAGCGAAUGGUGGAUGCCUUGACUGGUAAAGGCGAUGAAGGACGUACUAGACUGCGAUAAGCUACGGGGAGUUGUCAAGAAGCUUUGAUCCGUAGAUUUCCGAAUGGGGCAACCCAAUGUAUAGAGAUAUACAUUACCUAUAUAGGAGCGAACGAGGGGAAUUGAAACAUCUUAGUACCCUCAGGAAAAGAAAUCAAUAGAGAUUGCGUCAGUAGCGGCGAGCGAAAGCGCAAGAGGGCAAACCCAGUGCUUGCACUGGGGGUUGUAGGACUGCAAUGUGCAAGAGCUGAGUUUAGCAGAACAUUCUGGAAAGUAUAGCCAUAGAGGGUGAUAGUCCCGUAUGCGAAAAACAAAGCUUAGCUAGCAGUAUCCUGAGUAGGGCGGGACACGAGGAAUCCUGUCUGAAUCCGGGUCGACCACGAUCCAACCCUAAAUACUAAUACCAGAUCGAUAGUGCACAAGUACCGUGAGGGAAAGGUGAAAAGAACUGAGGUGAUCAGAGUGAAAUAGAACCUGAAACCAUUUGCUUACAAUCAUUCAGAGCACUAUGUAGCAAUACAGUGUGAUGGACUGCCUUUUGCAUAAUGAGCCUGCGAGUUGUGGUGUCUGGCAAGGUUAAGCAAACGCGAAGCCGUAGCGAAAGCGAGUCUGAAUAGGGCGCUUAGUCAGAUGCUGCAGACCCGAAACGAAGUGAUCUAUCCAUGAGCAAGUUGAAGCUAGUGUAAGAACUAGUGGAGGACUGAACCCAUAGGCGUUGAAAAGCCCCGGGAUGACUUGUGGAUAGGGGUGAAAGGCCAAUCAAACUUCGUGAUAGCUGGUUCUCUCCGAAAUAUAUUUAGGUAUAGCGUUGUGUCGUAAUAUAAGGGGGUAGAGCACUGAAUGGGCUAGGGCAUACACCAAUGUACCAAACCCUAUCAAACUCCGAAUACCUUAUAUGUAAUCACAGCAGUCAGGCGGCGAGUGAUAAAAUCCGUCGUCAAGAGGGAAACAACCCAGACUACCAGCUAAGGUCCCUAAAUCUUACUUAAGUGGAAAACGAUGUGAAGUUACUUAAACAACCAGGAGGUUGGCUUAGAAGCAGCCAUCCUUUAAAGAAAGCGUAAUAGCUCACUGGUCUAGUGAUUUUGCGCGGAAAAUAUAACGGGGCUAAAGUAAGUACCGAAGCUGUAGACUUGCACACAACUUAGAUUAUUUAAGUUUAGAAUAUAAAAAACUAAGUUAUAUGUUUUAAGUUAUAUUUUUACUGAUUUUUAUAGAGUAAAGAUAGAAACAAAACUUAGUAAAAUCAGUAAAAAUAUUCUUGGUUUAAAGUUUAAGUAGUUUAAGUUGUGUGCAAGUGGUAGGAGAGCGUUCUAUUUGCGUCGAAGGUAUACCGGUAAGGAGUGCUGGAGCGAAUAGAAGUGAGCAUGCAGGCAUGAGUAGCGAUAAUUAAUGUGAGAAUCAUUAACGCCGUAAACCCAAGGUUUCCUACGCGAUGCUCGUCAUCGUAGGGUUAGUCGGGUCCUAAGUCGAGUCCGAAAGGGGUAGACGAUGGCAAAUUGGUUAAUAUUCCAAUACCAACAUUAGUGUGCGAUGGAAGGACGCUUAGGGCUAAGGGGGCUAGCGGAUGGAAGUGCUAGUCUAAGGUUGUAGGAGCUUAUACAGGCAAAUCCGUAUAAGAAUACUCCGAGAACUGAAAGGCUUUUUGAAGUCUUCGGAUGGAUAGAAGAACCCCUGAUGCCGUCGAGCCAAGAAAAGUUUCUAAGUUUAGCUAAUGUUGCCCGUACCGUAAACCGACACAGGUGGGUGGGAUGAGUAUUCUAAGGCGCGUGGAAGAACUCUCUUUAAGGAACUCUGCAAAAUAGCACCGUAUCUUCGGUAUAAGGUGUGGUUAGCUUCGUACUAGGAUUUACUCCGAAAGCGAAGAAACUUACAACAAAGAGUCCCUCCCGACUGUUUACCAAAAACACAGCACUCUGCUAACUCGUAAGAGGAUGUAUAGGGUGUGACGCCUGCCCGGUGCUCGAAGGUUAAUUGAUGGGGUUAGCAUUAGCGAAGCUCUUGAUCGAAGCCCGAGUAAACGGCGGCCGUAACUAUAACGGUCCUAAGGUAGCGAAAUUCCUUGUCGGUUAAAUACCGACCUGCAUGAAUGGCGUAACGAGAUGGGAGCUGUCUCAAAGAGGGAUCCAGUGAAAUUGUAGUGGAGGUGAAAAUUCCUCCUACCCGCGGCAAGACGGAAAGACCCCGUGGACCUUUACUACAGCUUGACACUGCUACUUGGAUAAGAAUGUGCAGGAUAGGUGGGAGGCUUUGAGUAUAUGACGCCAGUUGUAUAUGAGCCAUUGUUGAGAUACCACUCUUUCUUAUUUGGGUAGCUAACCAGCUUGAGUUAUCCUCAAGUGGGACAAUGUCUGGUGGGUAGUUUGACUGGGGCGGUCGCCUCCCAAAUAAUAACGGAGGCUUACAAAGGUUGGCUCAGAACGGUUGGAAAUCGUUCGUAGAGUAUAAAGGUAUAAGCCAGCUUAACUGCAAGACAUACAAGUCAAGCAGAGACGAAAGUCGGUCUUAGUGAUCCGGUGGUUCUGUGUGGAAGGGCCAUCGCUCAAAGGAUAAAAGGUACCCCGGGGAUAACAGGCUGAUCUCCCCCAAGAGCUCACAUCGACGGGGAGGUUUGGCACCUCGAUGUCGGCUCAUCGCAUCCUGGGGCUGGAGCAGGUCCCAAGGGUAUGGCUGUUCGCCAUUUAAAGCGGUACGCGAGCUGGGUUCAGAACGUCGUGAGACAGUUCGGUCCCUAUCUGCCGUGGGCGUAAGAAGAUUGAAGAGAUUUGACCCUAGUACGAGAGGACCGGGUUGAACAAACCACUGGUGUAGCUGUUGUUCUGCCAAGAGCAUCGCAGCGUAGCUAAGUUUGGAAAGGAUAAACGCUGAAAGCAUCUAAGCGUGAAGCCAACUCUAAGAUGAAUCUUCUCUAAGCUCUCUAGAAGACUACUAGUUUGAUAGGCUGGGUGUGUAAUGGAUGAAAGUCCUUUAGCUGACCAGUACUAAUAGAGCGUUUGGCUUAUCUUUAAUAAAGCAU
rnacentral:rRNA from 1 species